UGUGUGCUGAAUCCAUAGGCACACAAGGCGAACCUGGGGAACUGAAACAUCUAAGUACCCAGAGGAAAAGAAAUCAACCGAGAUUCCGUCAGUAGCGGCGAGCGAAAGCGGAACAGCCCAGUUACUAAAUCAUUAUUGGCUUUAGCAGAAUGUUCUGGAAAGUUCAGCCAUAGUGGGUGAUAGCCCCGUAUGUAAAAGAGUUAAUAAUGUGGGUAACGAUGAGUAGGUCGGGACACGUGAAAUCUUGACUGAAUAUGGGGGGACCAUCCUCCAAGGCUAAAUACUCCUUACUGACCGAUAGCGAACUAGUACCGUGAGGGAAAGGUGAAAAGAACCCCGGCCAGGGGAGUGAGAUAGAACCUGAAACCGUAUGCGUACAAGCAGUCAGAG
rnacentral:rRNA from 1 species